AAAGAGAGUCAAAGAGUG
rnacentral:snRNA from 1 species